rnacentral:misc_RNA from 1 species
AAACUGUGAUAAGCAGUGUGACUUGCAGACUUCAAAGAAUCACUAGAAAUUUGAACGCAAAAGGUACUUCAAGGUUACACUUGGAGUAUGUUCACUUCAGUGCUUAAGAUUUUUGUUACCUCCUAAAGGAGAUAACGUGGAUAGAUGCUGUUAUUAUGGCUUCUGAAAUCUAAGUUCAAAAUUUCUUUGGCGAAACCAUAGAUAUCUUGAACUAAUCUAAAAAAUUAAGCCUGAAUUUGAGCAAGGCUACCCGCUGAAUUUAA